GAUUCCUGGGCAAAUCACAGCUCUGAGCAUCAGAAAACCGCAGCUGUUUCUGUUUCUAACUCAAUGUCAUUUGAGACUAUUAUUGAAUCCUCCUUUUAAAAGACAGCCAACCAGUUAGAAAACUCCUUGGAGAAGGAUCACCUGUUUUCAGAACAGAAUUCAAGACAAAAUGAAUGAACAGCCGUGACAAGAAAAACAAUGUCUCGAGGAUCAAUGAGAAAGAACAUAAAACAGAGGGGAGCAAGAGACCCAAGAAGAAAUAACUGAACAUGUCGAGGAUCAACGAGGAAAAACACAAAACAUGGAGCAAGAGACACAACGAAAAUGAACUUAACUGAAUAAAUUUUACUUUAACAUUUAAA